rnacentral:sRNA from 1 species
UGAGUACCUGAGUGAAACAGAAUCAAAAUGAAGAACACUAUUCUUGCUUUGGUUCUCGUUGCUUGUAUGGUGUCUUUGACAUCGGCUCGGACUCCUCCUUAUCAUGGAAAAUGCUACUACUGGAAAAGAUGUAGCAUCUGGAGGCAAUGCGGCUGGGGGAAAUAUUGCGACUUUAGAUAUGGCCAUCAUGGUUACUGCUGUAGUCAAUAUCAUGGCGGACACGGCCAUGGCUACGGUGGCUACGAUGAUUAUGGUGGCCAUGGAAGUUAUGGUUAUGACGGCUAUGGUCAUCAUGUUGAUCGUUAUUAAUGAAAUGGAUGAUUUGUCAACUAUUUGGAUAUACAAACAAAGUUUCAAUGAAGACAACAAUUGGCUUAAGUUAAUCUUCUCUUCUUUUAAAAGAAAAGUUUCGUAUUUGUAAAGUAAAUUAUUUCAUUAUUAAAUAUUGAUGCAAUGUU